AUGCAGUCGAACGGUAACAGGUCUUCGGAUGCUGACGAGUGGCGAACGGGUGAGUAAUACAUCGGAACGUGCCCGAUCGUGGGGGAUAACGGAGCGAAAGCUUUGCUAAUACCGCAUACGAUCUCUGGAUGAAAGCGGGGGACCGCAAGGCCUCGCGCGUUUGGAGCGGCCGAUGGCAGAUUAGGUAGUUGGUGGGGUAAAGGCUUACCAAGCCUACGAUCUGUAGCUGGUCUGAGAGGACGACCAGCCACACUGGGACUGAGACACGGCCCAGACUCCUACGGGAGGCAGCAGUGGGGAAUUUUGGACAAUGGGCGCAAGCCUGAUCCAGCCAUGCCGCGUGAGUGAAGAAGGCCUUCGGGUUGUAAAGCUCUUUCAGCCGGAAAGAAAUCGCGCAGGAUAAUACUCUGCGUGGAUGACGGUACCGGAAGAAGAAGCACCGGCUAACUACGUGCCAGCAGCCGCGGUAAUACGUAGGGUGCGAGCGUUAAUCGGAAUUACUGGGCGUAAAGCGUGCGCAGGCGGUUAUGUAAGACAGAUGUGAAAUCCCCGGGCUCAACCUGGGAACUGCGUUUGUGACUGCAUAACUAGAGUACGGCAGAGGGAGGUGGAAUUCCGCGUGUAGCAGUGAAAUGCGUAGAUAUGCGGAGGAACACCGAUGGCGAAGGCAGCCUCCUGGGCCAGUACUGACGCUCAUGCA
rnacentral:rRNA from 1 species